AUUUGAAUAGUUUAAAUAAAAUUCUGAUUUGUGGUGUCAGAGAUGUAAUAUAUUACUUCAGAUC
rnacentral:tRNA from 1 species